UACGUAGGGGGCAAGCGUUGUCCGGAAUCAUUGGGCGUAAAGCGCGUGUAGGCGGCUGAGUAAGUCUGCUCUGAAAGCCCGGGGCUCAACCCCGGGAGGCGGGUGGAUACUGCUCAGCUCGAGUCCGGAAGAGGAGUGUGGAAUUCCUGGUGUAGCGGUGAAAUGCGUAGAUAUCGAGAGGAACACCUGCGGCGAAGGCGGGUUGCUGGGCUGACACGUGACGCUGAGGCGCGAAAGCUAGGGGAGCGAACGGG
rnacentral:rRNA from 1 species